rnacentral:rRNA from 1 species
AUGUGCUCCUGCGGCUGCCCGUCAAAUCCAUCCUGCGCUUCCGCGCCGUGUGCCGCUCCUGGGCCGCGGCGCUCUCAUCGGAGGAGUUCUGCAGCCUCCACACGGCCAAGGCUGAGGCGGAGGCCAAGGCGGCGCCGCAACCUAAGCUCAUAUUCAUCUCGCCGUCAGCAGCAUACGACUCCACCAGGGUGUACUUGGGCUCGUCAUCAGACUCCAACAAUGGCCCGCUAUUUACUCUCGACGACGUGCGCGGCGACUUUGCGGUCUUAUCGCCUUCGCCGUGCCGCGGCCUCACUCUCCUGCACGAUGCGGUGGUGCCAGCCUAUUACGUGUUCAACGCGGCGACACGGGCGGUCACCCGGCUGCCGCCUUGCCAGCACGCCAUCUUCUCGACUGCCGGCCUCGGGUUUGACGCCAGCACCAAGGAGUACAAGGUCGUGA